AGUGAACGCUGGCGGCAGGCCUAACACAUGCAAGUCGAGCGGCAGCGCGUCCGACCACCCUCGGGUGGUCGGAUGGCGGCGAGCGGCGGACGGGUGAGGAAUGCAUCGGAAUCUGCCUCGUUGUGGGGGAUAACGUAGGGAAACUUACGCUAAUACCGCAUACGACCUACGGGUGAAAGUGGGGGACCUUCGGGCCUCACGCGAUGAGAUGAGCCGAUGCCGGAUUAGCUAGUUGGCGGGGUAAAGGCCCACCAAGGCGACGAUCCGUAGCUGGUCUGAGAGGAUGAUCAGCCACACUGGAACUGAGACACGGUCCAGACUCCUACGGGAGGCAGCGGUGGGGAAUAUUGGACAAUGGGGGCAACCCUGAUCCAGCCAUGCCGCGUGUGUGAAGAAGGCCUCGGGUUGUAAAGCGACUUUAGUUGGGUAAGAAACGGCCGGGUUAAGUACCCUGGUUGAAUGACGGUACCGAAACGAAUAAGACACCGGCUAACUUCGUGCCAGCAG
rnacentral:rRNA from 1 species